rnacentral:rRNA from 1 species
UACGAAGGGUGCAAGCGUUAAUCGGAAUUACUGGGCGUAAAGGGUGCGUAGGCGGUUCGUUAAGUCUGUCGUGAAAUCCCCGGGCUCAACCUGGGAAUGGCGAUGGAUACUGGGCAGCUAGAGUGUGUCAGAGGAUGGUGGAAUUCCCGGUGUAGCGGUGAAAUGCGUAGAGAUCGGGAGGAACAUCAGUGGCGAAGGCGGCCAUCUGGGACAACGCUGACGCUGAAGCACGAAAGCGUGGGGAGCAAACAGG